UAGGGAAUCUUCGGCAAUGGACGAAAGUCUGACCGAGCAACGCCGCGUGAGUGAAGAAGGUUUUCGGAUCGUAAAACUCUGUUGUUAGAGAAGAACAAGGACGUUAGUAACUGAACGUCCCCUGACGGUAUCUAACCAGAAAGCCACGGCUAACUACGUGCCAGCAGCCGCGGUAAUACGUAGGUGGCAAGCGUUGUCCGGAUUUAUUGGGCGUAAAGCGAGCGCAGGCGGUUUCUUAAGUCUGAUGUGAAAGCCCCCGGCUCAACCGGGGAGGGUCAUUGGAAACUUGGAGACUUGAUUGCAGAAGAGGAGAGUGGAAUUCCAUAUGUAGCGGUGAAAUGCGUAGAUAUAUGGAGGAACACCAGUGGCGAAGGCGGCUCUCUGGUCUGUAACUGACGCUGAGGCUCGAAAGCGUGGGGAGCAAACAGG
rnacentral:rRNA from 1 species